CAGCAGUUGGUGUCACUCUUUCUGCUUCUCUCAUACAUAAUAGGUGUAUUAAUACACCUGUGUAUAAACCACACUGCACUGAAAGUGGGUGAAGAAAGGCAAGUGCCUGAUUUGUGGGUGACAAUCCUCUGUUUCCCCAGCUCACAAUGUACCUGCUCAUUUUUUCCAAUUCCCUGGUGGAUGAGAGGUCACAGGGUAAAUAUAUUCAGGUUUUACCAGUGCACCACAUUAAAAAGAGCUGAUGUGGCACAUCCCUUGUGUCCACCCUUUCUGGAUCUCAGUUAAUGUACUGAUUUCUCCCUCAUUGGGAAGCUGUCCAUUUCCCAAGCAACAAAUUCAGAUGAUCUUUGUAUCUCAAGCACUUACUCUCUUUCACCAUGCAUACUGUAGCCAAACACCAAGUUUGGAAUCCACAGGACAGCGAAGGAUACCAUCUGACAUGAUGUUCUGCCAGAGGUUCUUUUGGAGGUAUGUUUGGAUUGACUAUUACACAAUGGCCUCUGUGCAAGAAUUCCUGCCUGGGAAACCAAAGCACCCCCCUCCUCUACAGAUCUAGUUUCUUAGCCUUUACUAAGCUGGCUGAUUCUGUAAAUGUUCCCAACGUUGACCUGAGUGAGGCUACGUGUAUGCAGAAGAAAAGCUGCCCUAGGAACCAUUUUCCUCCUUUUGAGCUCUCUCAAACAGAGAUUAUCCAAGGGAAAAAUCUAUCAGAAAGACAAAUGAUAGUAGCACAUCCCAACAUCCACUCUGCUGCCAACUCAGAGCAGUUCUCUGGGCUGCAGAGACCCAGCAAGACCAAAUCUGGUCCACUGCAUCUCACCCUUUCAGGAACAAGUACAGAGGAGCAGUGCACAGAUAUUGCAUCAUUUCUCUUCCUCUUCAGAGCAUUAAGGCAGGUUUCCUAUCACUGUCACCAUCAGGCCUCACACACUUACAGGAUUCCAGCAUUCAGGACACCUAAGUCCAUCUCACCUUGCAGUGCUCCUCACAGAAGAGCCCACAGCAGGACACAAAGGCAUGCAUGA
rnacentral:lncRNA from 1 species